AUACGCUCGACAAGAUAUUCCCAAAUCUUCUCAGAGUGUCUGACGCAUCCCCGAUAUUUAAAGUCAUAAAUUGAGGCGACAUCCACCGCCUGAAUACCCUCCUGACAGCCGCCACCUGGCACCAGAAAUGUCAUGAUUGCUUUGCCACCCUAUAAGCCGCAAUCAUGACGAUAGGACCCGCUAGCACAGUGGGACCAUACUUUCUGACUCAUAUAUAAACUCUAAGGAGACUCUCAAGAAGGUAAG
rnacentral:lncRNA from 1 species